AUUGAACGCUGGCGGCAGGCCUAACACAUGCAAGUCGAACGGUAACAGGAAGAAGCUUGCUUCUUUGCUGACGAGUGGCGGACGGGCGAGUAAUGUCUGGGAAACUGCCUGAUGGAGGGGGAUAACUACUGGAAACGGUAGCUAAUACCGCAUAACGUCGCAAGACCAAAGAGGGGGACCUUCGGGCCUCUUGCCAUCGGAUGUGCCCAGAUGGGAUUAGCUAGUAGGUGGGGUAACGGCUCACCUAGGCGUCGAUCCCUAGCUGGUCUGAGAGGAUGACCAGCCACACUGGAACUGAGACACGGUCCAGACUCCUACGGGAGGCAGCAGUGGGGAAUAUUGCACAAUGGGCGCAAGCCUGAUGCAGCCAUGCCGCGUGUAUGAAGAAGGCCUUCGGGUUGUAAAGUACUUUCAGCGGGGAGGAAGGGAGUAAAGUUAAUACCUUUGCUCAUUGACGUUACCCGCAGAAGAAGCACCGGCUAACUCCGUG
rnacentral:rRNA from 1 species